UCUGACCCUGUACCUGUCUGUCUCUCAGUUCACCAGUGGGGGACAGAGGAGGUGGGGGCGUGGCUGGACUUCCUGUGUCUCUCUGAGUAUAAAGACAUCUUCAUCGGACACGACGUCCGCGGAGCCGAACUCAUCCACCUGGAGAGGAGGGACCUGAAGGAUCUGGGUGUAACUAAAGUAGGUCACAUUAAGAGGAUCCUUCAGGGAAUCCGAGAGAUCAACAGGAACAGCAGCGCCAGCGAGGCCUGAAGACUCCGUCAGAUGCAGCGAUGUGAUAACGGACGUUUCCUCUGACCCUGAACACAGCCGCCGUGACAUCACAUCUGACGCUCGCUGUGAUUGGACCAAUCACAGGACCCGCUAGUGCCUUGUCAUCUCCCCCUGGAGGCGGAGAGAGGCGGGGCCUAACAUGGACCCAGCGCCACCUUUAUUGACUUUGUGUUUCCUUUAGAACAAGUCGAGUUCAGAGACUCUGUCUGUGUGGACAGGAGCCCUGUUUGGGUCUCCUGUCUUUACAAUCUGCACAAUCGCUCUUCAUGUGUCUCUGUCUUUCUGUCUUUCAUGUCUUCAUGUGUCUCUGUCUUUCUGUCUUUCAUGUCUUCAUGU